AGCAGUAGCCGCGGUAAAACAGAGGGUGCGAGCGUUAAUCGGAUUUACUGGGCGUAAAGCGUGCGUAGGCGGCUAAUUGAGUCGGAUGUGAAAUCCCCGAGCUUAACUUGGGAAUUGCAUUCGAUACUGGUUAGCUAGAGUGUGGGAGAGGAUGGUAGAAUUCCAGGUGUAGCGGUGAAAUGCGUAGAGAUCUGGAGGAAUACCGAUGGCGAAGGCAGCCAUCUGGCCUAACACUGACGCUGAGGUACGAAAGCAUGGGGAGCAAACAGGAUUAGAUACCCCCGUAGUCCCUGUCUCUUAUAC
rnacentral:rRNA from 1 species